GUCAAAUGAGCCUGAGCUGACAUUGUAGAGGAUGUAGAUGGCUGAAGAAACUGUUCAGCUGGAGUAUCUACUUCCAUUGCAGUUUCACUCACUUCCAAAUCAGGACUUCAUGGGAC
ensembl:snoRNA